rnacentral:rRNA from 1 species
AGCGAACGCUGGCGGCAGGCCUAACACAUGCAAGUCGAACGAACCCUUCGGGGUUAGUGGCGGACGGGUGAGUAACACGUGGGAACGUGCCUUUAGGUUCGGAAUAACUCAGGGAAACUUGUGCUAAUACCGAAUGUGCCCUUCGGGGGAAAGAUUUAUCGCCUUUAGAGCGGCCCGCGUCUGAUUAGCUAGUUGGUGAGGUAAUGGCUCACCAAGGCUACGAUCAGUAGCUGGUCUGAGAGGAUGACCAGCCACAUUGGGACUGAGACACGGCCCAAACUCCUACGGGAGGCAGCAGUGGGGAAUCUUGCCCAAUGGGCGAAAGCCUGACGCAGCCAUGCCGCGUGGAUGAUGAAGGUCUUAGGAUUGUAAAAUUCUUUCACCGGGGACGAUAAUGACGGUACCCGGAGAAGAAGCCCCGGCUAACUUCGUGCCAGCAGCCGCCGUAACAC